rnacentral:rRNA from 1 species
GACGAACGCUGGCGGCGUGCCUAAUACAUGCAAGUCGAACGCAGUGGGGACGGGUGAGUAACACGUGGGUAACCUCCCAUCAGAGGGGAUAACCCUUGGAAACAGGUGCUAAACCGCUAUCGAUUGAUGGACCCGCGGUGCAUUAGCUAGUUGGUGAGGUACCGGCUCACCAAGGCCACGAUGCAUAGCUGGCCUGAGAGGGUGAUCGGCCACACUGGGACUGAGACACGGCCCAGACUCCUACGGGAGGCAGCAGUAGGGAAUCUUGGGCAAUGGACGAAAGUCUGACCGAGCAACGCCGCGUGAGUGAAGAAGGUUUUCGGAUCGUAAAACUCUGUUGUUAGAGAAGCGGUAUCUAAACAGAAAGCCACGGCUAACUACGUGCCAGCAGCCGCGGUAAUAC